CCAGGCCCGCUCGGCACCGCGCUGCCCCGCUCCCAGCCUGCCCCGCUGCGGGGCGGGGCCUCCGCCGCCAUCUUUAAGAGGUCUGAGGCGGCGGCGGGAGCCGGGAGCCAUCUUGGAGAGGGCGCCGGAGACGGAUGCGCCGCCGCCAUCUUGGGAAGACAGACCUUUAAGAAAUGCACUGCUGUAAGCAGGCUAUUCUGAGAGCAAAGUUAUCCCAGAGCUCUGGAAUGUGACAUUUUCUGAACAAAAACAUGGAACAAAAGGACCAAAGUUGGGAGGAAAAUGAAAGGCAGGAUUGAGUGCUGAAGCAGAACUGAACCAGCCCAUCCUGCAGCCAAGAUGCUUUCAUCAUUGCUUCUGCAAGGAAGAUGAAGAAUUAACAUCUACUGUGUAUGAAGGUCCAUAUGAUUUGGUUGAGAAAAUUCUUAAUGGUUUCUGUAUGUUAAGCAGCAGGUCCUCUCUGGCCUGAA